AUGUUCUGUAACCAUGUGAGCACGGGAGGUGUUUAUCGUCACAAGCAGCAUGUGGCUCAUAUUGGUAAUGAUGUGGUCAAAUGCAAGAAAAGCUCUCAGGAAGCUAAAGACAGGUGCAAGAAAUCUCUUGAGGAUGCAUCUAAUAAGAGGAGGGAAAAGACUGCCCGUGAGCAAGAGCUUAGACAAAGUGUGAACAUUUCUCGCGUUGGAGAUGAAGAAGCUGCUCAUAUCGGAAGCACGGAGCCACACAAAUUAGGUCCUAUUGACAAGUGGGCACGGCCUAUUGAUCCUAAAUUGACUCAAGCUGAAGCCUUGCAUCAACAGAAGAUAAACAAGGAAUUUUGGAAAAAGAGAACACAUGAAGUGCAACAGUAUGUGGCUAGAUGGGUGUACAAUCAUGCUAUACCAUUCAAUGCUUGUGACAAUGAUGAUUUCAAGUUAAUGUGUGAAGCCAUUGGGAGGUUUGGCACUGGAUUUGAGCCGCCAUCUAAACAUGACCUUCGAGAGACUUUGCUGAGUGAGGAACAUGCAAGAGUGAAGAGUUUGCUGCAAGAACGUGAUGCUGAAAAGAUGAAGAAUGGCUGCUCCAUUAUGACUGAUGCUCGGUCAGAUAGGAAGAGGAGAAGCAUAAUGAACUUGUGCACAAACAGUGCUGAUGGUUCUAGUUUUAUAAGGCCGAGUGAGAUGUCGGAUGUAUCACACACAAGUGAAGUCAUCUUCCAAUUAGUGGAUGAAGCAAUUGAAGAAGUAGGUCCUGAAAAUGUGGUCCAAGUAGUGACUGAUAAUGCUUCUAAUAACAUGGGGGCAAAGAAGAUGUUGUUGGAGAAGCGGCCAAACAUGUUUUGGAGCUCUUGUGCGACGCACACCAUUAACUUGAUGUUGCAAGGAAUUGGCGAUCUGCCAAGGUUUAGUAAGGUACUUGAAAAAGAAAAAGCAUUCACUAUCUUUGUCUAUGGGCACACACGGACCUUGGACUGCAUGAGACACUUCUCUUCAAGGAAAGAGAUCAUAAGGCCAGGGGUCACUAUAGGUUUGCUUCUGCUUAUCUAA
rnacentral:rRNA from 1 species